rnacentral:rRNA from 1 species
AUUGAACGCUGGCGGCAGGCCUAACACAUGCAAGUCGAACGAGUGGCGGACGGGUGAGUAAUGUCUGGGAAACUGCCCGAUGGAGGGGGAUAACUACUGGAAACUGUCGCUAAUACCGCAUACCAUCGGAUGUGCCCAGGUGGGAUUAGCUAGUUGGUGGGGUAACGGCUCACCGAGGCGACGAUCCCUAGCUGGUCUGAGAGGAUGACCAGCCACACUGGAACUGAGACACGGCCCAGACUCCUACGGGAGGCAGCAGUGGGGAAUAUUGCACAAUGGGCGCAAGCCUGAUGCAGCCAUGCCGCGUGGAUGAAGAAGGCCUUCGGGUUGUAAAGUACUUUCAGCGAGGAGGCGUUACUCGCAGAAGAAGCACCGGCUAACUCCGUGCCAGCAGCCGCGGUAAUUC